UAUAUGAGCAAUGUAUCCUUAUUUGGAGCCAAUUUCGCAGAACAAACAGAUUCUACGUGUAAUUCGCCGAAGAGAGUCGACAGACUAGGUCUUAUUUGUUCUGCGCUGUUGUUUUUGCGACAAAGAUACGAAAGUUUUCAAAUAUUUCUUGCUCCAAGAAGUUAAGACAAGAAACCAUGAAUAAAGCUGCAGCACUUCUCUUGAUAAUGAUGGUGACUGCUCAGCAAUCUCAGGGUGGACUGUUGGCCUAUGGAAUUUGCCAGACGGGCUGCAAUACAGUGUGGGUUGCUUGUGUGGCUGCUGCAGGUGGAACGGCUGGUGUUUCUACCGGAGGAGCUGCGGUGCCUGCCGCCAUCGUUGCAUGUAACACUGCUCAAGGUGCUUGUAUGGCAGCAUGUGUAGCUGCUGGACUUACUCCCACUCCUUAAAUCAGCUUGCUCACAGGACUCACAGCCCAGUGUACUGAUAAAGCUGUUGUUCUUGUUGAAGUGUAGUCAAUACUUAAAAGUUAUGUUCUAUAAGUUUGUAGAAGAAAACACACAAUGU